rnacentral:rRNA from 1 species
UACGUAGGGGGCAAGCGUUGUCCGGAUUUAUUGGGCGUAAAGAGCGUGUAGGCGGCCAGACAGGUCCGUUGUGAAAACUCGAGGCUCAACCUCGAGACGCCGAUGGAAACCGUCUGGCUAGAGUCCGGAAGAGGAGAGUGGAAUUCCUGGUGUAGCGGUGAAAUGCGCAGAUAUCAGGAGGAACACCAAUGGCGAAGGCAGCUCGCUGGGACGGUACUGACGCUGAGACGCGAAAGCGUGGGGAGCGAACAGG